AUACGAAGGGGGCUAGCGUUGUUCGGAAUCACUGGGCGUAAAGCGCGCGUAGGUGGAUCAAUUAGUUGAGGGUGAAAUCCCGGGGCUCAACCUCGGAACUGCCUUCAAUACUGUUGAUCUUGAGACCGAGAGAGGUGAGUGGAAUUCCUAGUGUAGAGGGGAAAUUCGUAGAUAUUAGGAAGAACACCAGUGGCGAAGGCGGCUCACUGGCUCGGUACUGACGCUGAGGUGCGAAAGCGUGGGGAGCAAACAGGAUUAGAAACCCUAGUAGUCC
rnacentral:rRNA from 1 species